rnacentral:lncRNA from 1 species
AGGGAGGGAGGCUGCGGACCAGUGCGGGGAGGAGUUUGCGAGGGGAGGCGCUUGCAGGGGCUCCCCCAGUUCUGCGCCGAGAGCCCGGGCACAAAGAGCCCUCCACACUACACUCCAGCAGCAGGAGCUAGGACUCGGGU